rnacentral:rRNA from 1 species
UAAAGUUGUUGCAGUUAAAAGCUCGUAGUUGGAUUUGUGGCUUACGGCGUGUUCCAGGCACUUGUUGUCUGAGUUUCAUGCCGUUGCCAUCCUUGGGUGGAACCUGUGUGGCAUUAGGUUGUCGUGCAGGGGAUGCCCAUCGUUUACUGUGAAAAAAUUAGAGUGUUCAAAGCAGGCUUAUGCCGUUGAAUAUAUUAGCAUGGAAUAAUAAGAUAGGACUUUUUUGCUAUUUUGUUGGUUUGCGCGAAGAGGUAAUGAUUAAUAGGGACAGUUGGGGGUAUUCGUAUUCCAUUGUCAGAGGUGAAAUUCUUGGAUUUUUGGAAGACGAACUACUGCGAAAGCAUUUACCAAGGAUGUUUUCAUUAAUCAAGAACGAAAGUUAGGGGAUCGAAGAUGAUUAGAUACCAUCGUAGUCGUCAUAGCUGUUUCCUG